rnacentral:rRNA from 1 species
UACGUAGGGUGCAAGCGUUGUCCGGAAUUAUUGGGCGUAAAGAGCUCGUAGGCGGUCUGUCGCGUCGGCUGUGAAAACUCGGGGCUCAACUCCGAGCUUGCAGUCGAUACGGGCAGGCUAGAGUUCGGCAGGGGAGACUGGAAUUCCCGGUGUAGCGGUGAAAUGCGCAGAUAUCAGGAGGAACACCGGUGGCGAAGGCGGGUCUCUGGGCCGAUACUGACGCUGAGGAGCGAAAGCGUGGGGAGCGAACAGG